rnacentral:lncRNA from 1 species
GGCCAGUACUUGGCCAUGGACACCGACGGGCUUUUAUACGGCUCACAGACACCAAAUGAGGAAUGUUUGUUCCUGGAAAGGCUGGAGGAGAACCAUUACAACACCUAUAUAUCCAAGAAGCAUGCAGAGAAGAAUUGGUUUGUUGGCCUCAAGAAGAAUGGGAGCUGCAAACGCGGUCCUCGGACUCACUAUGGCCAGAAAGCAAUCUUGUUUCUCCCCCUGCCAGUCUCUUCUGAUUAAAGAGAUCUGUUCUGGGUGUUGACCACUCCAGAGAAGUUUCGAGGGGUCCUCACCUGGUUGACCCAAAAAUGUUCCCUUGACCAUUGGCUGCGCUAACCCCCAGCCCACAGAGCCUGAAUUUGUAAGCAACUUGCUUCUAAAUGCCCAGUUCACUUCUUUGCAGAGCCUUUUACCCCUGCACAGUUUAGAACAGAGGGACCAAAUUGCUUCUAGGAGUCAACUGGCUGGCCAGUCUGGGUCUGGGUUUGGAUCUCCAAUUGCCUCUUGCAGGCUGAGUCCCUCCAUGCAAAAGUGGGGCUAAAUGAAGUGUGUUAAGGGGUCGGCUAAGUGGGACAUUAGUAACUGCACACUAUUUCCCUCUACUGAGUAAACCCUAUCUGUGAUUCCCCCAAACAUCUGGCAUGGCUCCCUUUUGUCCUUCCUGUGCCCUGCAAAUAUUAGCAAAGAAGCUUCAUGCCAGGUUAGGAAGGCAGCAUUCCAUGACCAGAAACAGGGACAAAGAAAUCCCCCCUUCAGAACAGAGGCAUUUAAAAUGGAAAAGAGAGAUUGGAUUUUGGUGGGUAACUUAGAAGGAUGGCAUCUCCAUGUAGAAUAAAUGAAGAAAGGGAGGCCCAGCCGCAGGAAGGCAGAAUAAAUCCUUGGGAGUCAUUACCACGCCUUGACCUUCCCAAGGUUACUCAGCAGCAGAGAGCCCUGGGUGACUUCAGGUGGAGAGCACUAGAAGUGGUUUCCUGAUAACAAGCAAGGAUAUCAGAGCUGGGAAAUUCAUGUGGAUCUGGGGACUGAGUGUGGGAGUGCAGAGAAAGAAAGGGAAACUGGCUGAGGGGAUACCAUAAAAAGAGGAUGAUUUCAGAAGGAGAAGGAAAAAGAAAGUAAUGCCACACAUUGUGCUUGGCCCCUGGUAAGCAGAGGCUUUGGGGUCCUAGCCCAGUGCUUCUCCAACACUGAAGUGCUUGCAGAUCAUCUGGGGACCUGGUUUGAAUGGAGAUUCUGAUUCAGUGGGUUGGGGGCAGAGUUUCUGCAGUUCCAUCAGGUCCCCCCCAGGUGCAGGUGCUGACAAUACUGCUGCCUUACCCGCCAUACAUUAAGGAGCAGGGUCCUGGUCCUAAAGAGUUAUUCAAAUGAAGGUGGUUCGACGCCCCGAACCUCACCUGACCUCAACUAACCCUUAAAAAUGCACACCUCAUGAGUCUACCUGAGCAUUCAGGCAGCACUGACAAUAGUUAUGCCUGUACUAAGGAGCAUGAUUUUAAGAGGCUUUGGCCCAAUGCCUAUAAAAUGCCCAUUUCGAAGAUAUACAAAAACAUACUUCAAAAAUGUUAAACCCUUACCAACAGCUUUUCCCAGGAGACCAUUUGUAUUACCAUUACUUGUAUAAAUACACUUCCUGCUUAAACUUGACCCAGGUGGCUAGCAAAUUAGAAACACCAUUCAUCUCUAACAUAUGAUACUGAUGCCAUGUAAAGGCCUUUAAUAAGUCAUUGAAAUUUACUGUGAGACUGUAUGUUUUAAUUGCAUUUAAAAAUAUAUAGCUUGAAAGCAGUUAAACUGAUUAGUAUUCAGGCACUGAGAAUGAUAGUAAUAGGAUACAAUGUAUAAGCUACUCACUUAUCUGAUACUUAUUUACCUAUAAAAUGAGAUUUUUGUUUUCCACUGUGCUAUUACAAAUUUUCUUUUGAAAGUAGGAACUCUUAAGCAAUGGUAAUUGUGAAUAAAAAUUGAUGAGAGUGUUAGCUCCUGUUUCAUAUGAAAUUGAAGUAAUUGUUAACUAAAAACAAUUCCUUAGUAACUGAACUGUCAUAUUUAGAAUGGAAGGAAAAUGACAGUUUGUGAAAGUUCAAAGCAAUAGUGCAAUUGAAGAAUUGACCUAAGUAAGCUGACAUUAUGGUUAAUAAUAGUAUUUUAGAUUUGUGCAGCAAAAUAAUUUCAUAACUUUUUUGUUUUUGUUACUUGGAUAAGAUCAAUCUGUUUUAUUUUAGUAAAUCUUUGCAGGCAAGUUAGAGAAAAUGCAGUGUGGCUUAACGUCUCUUUAGUAUGAAGAUUUGGC